rnacentral:lncRNA from 1 species
GAGUCCGGGAAGCCCGCGGCUGCUGCUGCUGCGCUUUAAGUGUCCGGAAGUGCGGCCGCACGCGCUGCAAUCCCUUUGUCCCCGCGGCCGGAAGGGCGCGGUGUGAUUAGUUGGCGUUUCGCGGCGGACGCCGAUUAGCCCGCGCGCUUGUCCGCCAGUCCCACAAGCUGCCUAGACGUUGGAGGGGCUAGAUGGUGCUUGGUCUGAAGAUGUUGAAAAACGUAAAGCCUGAGCCGAACCCCGAGUUUCAGCAACCUGGAGCUCGAGGACUGUAACCUGGGGAGGUCACAGGGUGGCCGCGAUGGCUUUAGAAUCCGGCUUUCUUGUUCCCAAGCAAACGCUUUGCCAUGUCAUCACCUGCCACCCCUCACUUGUAAAUCCAGGUCAGCUCGUUUAUCUUUUCCUUUUGCUGAGCCCAGACGUACCUUUUCUGACGGUUACUUCGCCACCUCGCCUCUCGGAGCGGUAUUCCGCUUCCUCGCUGAUUUGUUGAAAGCAGCAAGUCCAAAGAUCAAAAAGUUCAUCAAACCCCAGGCAGGGAGUUCCCGUCAUGGCACAGUUUAGGAACCAUGAGGUUGCGGGUUCGGUCCCUGCCCUUGCUCAAUGGGUGAAGGAUCCGGCGUUGCCGUGAGCUGUGGUGUAGGUUGAAGACGCGGCUCAGAUCCCCAGUUGCUGUGGCUGUGGCGUGGGCUGGCGGCUACAGCUCCAGUUGGACCCCUAGCCUGGGAACCUCCAUAUUGCUGCAGGUGUGGCCCUAAAAAGACAAAAAGACACACACACACACACACACACACACACACACACACACACACACACACACACACAGAGGCAGAAAAGAAAACAGGACAUUUCUACAGAUUUUACAUAAAUAAAAAGGAUUAUAAGAGGAUGCUAUGUUUUUCACAAAGAUGGCAUUGAAAGCAAAGAAGGAAGCCCCUGCCCCUUCCAAAGCUGAAGCCAAAGCCAAGGCCAAGAAAGCAGUGCUGAACAAUCCACAGCCACACAAAAAACGUUUGGUUGUCACCCACCUUCCCAAGUCCCAGAACACUGCAACUCAGAAGGCAGCCCAAAUAUCCUUGGAAGAGAGCCCCUGGGAGAAGCAGUCUUGACCACUCUGCCAUUAUCAAUUUCCCUCACCACCAAGUCAGCCUCGAAGAAGACGGAAGUCAACAACGUGCCUGUAUGCAUUGUGGAGGUCAAGGCCAACAAGCACCAGGCAGAAGAGGCUGUGAAGAAGCCCCAUGACAUUGCCUGGCUAAAGUCGACGCCUUGCUCAGGCCUAAUGGGGAGAAGAGGCAUAUGUUUGACUGGUUCCCAACUAUGAAGCUUUGGAUGUUGCCAACAAAGUUGGAAUCAUCUAAACUGAGUCCAGCUGGCUAAUUCUAAAUAUAAAAUUUCUCAUGGAGGAAAAAAAGGGAUACUAUGAACAAUUCACUCUGAGGACCCGGAGGAGGGACCGGGCAGCAGGGGAACAGUGACAUUUUACAUUUUGAAUUUCGUCCUGUGUGCACGAAUAGUGUGUUUAACCAAUAACUGACAAACACGUGAGCCCAGGCACACGUUGAAGGGAGGAAUCCGUGGUGGCCUAGCAGCUGGGGACUCAGCAUUGUCCCUGCUGUGGCUCCAGUUACUGCUGUGGCUCAGGUUCGGUUCCUGGCCCAGGAACUUCCCCAUCCCACAGGCGUGGCCAAAAAAAAGAAAAA